UGGCUUGCAGCCACAGGGAGGCGUUUUCAGGGCCCACCUGGAGUUGGAUGACAUUGUUUUCCUUUGUCCUGACACCAGAAAGGAAACUGGCAUGGCCACUCUGAACAUUUUUUCUUCUUUGGCAUUUGGUUGCCUUUUUUCCCUCCUCCAUUGGCAAUAGUUCUAUCAGGUUCUCAGUCAAAAUAACGCAUUGCCCAAGCACAAACGUGACCCUCGCUGUGUCAUGGGAACACAUUGCACAGAGAACUCCAUCACACUCAAACACCAGCCAUGCCUUGCCAGCCCUGGUGGACUUGAAGUUUGGAUGAGAUUUAAGUUUGUGGAGCAGCUCAGCUCUGGGAGCGUGGUAAGAGUGGGAUCUAGAGAGAUGGGAGUUCCUCCUGCAAACGUGCUCUUGAGCCUAUCUUGAGGUCCGUAACCAUGCUCAGCCACAGUGGCCUCUGCAGGUUGAGGAAGGAUUCUCUGUCCUUCCAGAAGCUUCUCUCUAGUUUCAAAUGUCGUACCCAAAUGAAGAAAGGAAUGCUUCCUUUGAAAUUGAUGCCAUCCUUGGAGCCACCACACUGAGUGCGGGCCUCUUGCACCCCCAUGCAGGGUCCUGCUUUGCUCUUCCUGUCUUCCCUGCUGCAAGACCUCAGGGAAUGCCCAUGGACCGGGCACUUCCUGAGCAGGUUUUCACUAAAAGAAACACUCAGCAAAAUAAAGAAAGUUCCUAGCGUACCGUCCAGGCCUACCUAAUGUUUCCUGAGGACAAUAGAAGGCAUCAUUUGUUUUCAGAGCAUAAUUUUAUUAUAUCUUAAUGCAAGAAAAGGAGGAGAUUGCUCUUAAAGGGAUGCUCAUCUUAACCAAACCCAAGACAGCGAUGUCUAGAACAAGAAAGCUGACAUGUUGAUCUGUGCUCAAACCAGAGUUGAGCUGGCUCCGAGAGCUUCUGGUCUCCAGGAUCCACAUGGCCUUUGGAAACCAAAGCUCAAUUCCAGGGGCUCAGGGCCAGAGAAUCAAGCAAACGUGCUGUUUACAGAAACUGAAAUAAUUCACUCAUUCAACAAAUAUUAGUCAGCACCUACUCUGGUCUAGCAACUGUUUUCAGGGCUGUGACCAAGACAGACAACACCUUUGUCGAGCAUGGAGCUUAAGUUCUAGUUAGUCGUAGAUUCUGGGAUUGAAUCCCUAGAAAAAUGAAGAAGGCAAAUGUCAAAUAGUAACUGUCAGAAAGGAAACACAACAGGCGCGUGUGUUGCAGGAGCUGGGAAAGGCUGAGGCCCGGAUGACCCGAAGGCCCGUCCAUGUGCAGGCCAGGAAGAGUGCUCCAUGCAGAAGCACAGCAGGUGCAAAGGCCUUGAACUGGGGAUGAGGGUGGCUCAAGGAUGCGAUCAAGUUCAACUCACAAAGGGGGAGCUGAUUGUGAAAUUCAAAGGAGAUCCUUGUAGCUUCGAAGGCCGGACCAUGGUCUGAGACAGAGCAGAGAAUCAGCAGAUGGAACAGGUUAAUAAAACAAUGGACUGAAAUGUUCAGGAUUCCUCUGGUUGUUCUAUGUGAUUUCCCAUGGCUGUCUCACCCCUCAAAGCUGUUGGCAUGGUGCCCGGACUGCUGACUGCACUCAGAUACAUGUUAACAAAUGGUCGCGGCACUGCAGAAAGCAGAGUGGAGUGGAGUGGACAGCCCUGCAGUGGCUAAAUACUUUUGUUAGAAUGCAAGUGUCUGUAGCCACAGAUGAUCAGCUUUCUCCAUUCACCAAGAUGGCCCGUGCAGGCCUUGGCUUCCUGGGGAGAAUUAGUUUUCAUCUCUGACUUAGACCUUUUUUUGUUAAGGAACAACACAUGUCACAUAAAACUUUUUUUUGACAUGACAAUACCUGGAAUAAUUAGAUACAUAAAGAACAAUGAGGGAGCUGCGCUUUCCUGAGUGUAUUUUGAGCAGUUAUUACCCACCAUCAGUGCCUUUCAAAUGUCACUUGUGGAGUGUUCGUCUGUUUGUCGUGAAGCACAAAACUUUUUCUCUAUUCUUUGCCAAAGUAGUUGAGAGCAUUUUAAAUCUCUGUGUUGAACUAUUGCAAGUCACUCCAAAAUUAAAGUGCUCAAAACCUUUAUUUUGAAAAGCCCGAACGGUGCCCAUCAAAGCAGCACAGAGAACACUGUCUUUUCAGUACUCACCCAGCUCAUUCCUCUGGAAAUGUCAGAUAUGCUCUCAUUUAAAUAAUUUGACAGCUCACAAGAAGCCAUCUGAUGAGUAUUGCAUUCAAUUGUUAAAAGUACAACAAAAAGAGUCAAGAAGUUUUUCUUCCAAAGAAUUUAUCAUUAAUUCACACAAGCUACUUUAUAUGUGGUCGCCUACUAAAUGCAAUUAUUUAAUUUCUCUGUUUCUUUCUCUCUCCCUCUCCUUCUCUUUUUCUGCAAGUGGAGGCUGCGAAGACCCAUUUUAAUAUAAAGGACACUUGGGCUUUUCACCUGAAAUGAAAAAACAAUGCAUUAAGGCUGUUAAGUAGGCUUCACACAUUCAAUAUGUUUGGAGGAAUGUCUACACACAGAAGUGUUUGACACAUAUAGAAAAAUACAUGUAUUUUAAAGACAUGCUUGACUCAAAGCACCCGAACAUUUUAUUUACCACCAUGAGGCAGCUCAUUGAAAAUCCAGCCUGGCCUGUUUUGUGACUGCACACAUUCCGUUUGGUUAAAGCAGCACUCAGUGUGCAGGGGUGGUUGUGUACCUCCUUAAACUUGUGUCCUGGACGUUGAAUUUGACCGGAUAGAAAUGAACACGAGCUCCUGAAAGAUGAGGUGAUCGCCACUCAUCUUGUUCCCAGGAUGUUCCAGACGUGGGGAGACAAACGCUAGGCUUGUUGUGGUUUGCAGUGUCUCAGGUUGAAUGGACGUUGCAGGUCUAGGGGAUGGAUACCCAGGGAUACAAGGGAGUCAGGGGCUCCCUUACAGCUGUUCCCAUGCCUAUCAUUCAUUUAGCUCUUUAGCCUCUACUAUGUCUUCCUCUUCUACUACUUUCUGUCUUUGGGUUAAAAUGUGGAGAGCUGACUUGAGUGAGUAGCACACUCUCAUGCUCGGGCCAGCCCUCCACAUCAUGAGUGGGCUGCAGCCACCCCAGGCUUCUGGGAAUAAGGUGGGGUACGGGAAGCAAUUAAGAAAUUGCUUUGCUGACACAGCCCACUUGCACAGAGCACCUUGUCUCUGAGGGAACGGCUGUCCUCUGUUGGGGAAAAUCGGGCCCAGCGAGCCUGACUUGCUGUGCACAUUUGGGAUGUGGCCGGAGCCUCAGCAUCUACUUGGGAGGGUGUGUACCGGCUGCCGUGUUUCCUUUCGGCAGGCUUAAAUUCAUUUCUUCAGAUGUUCCCGUUAGUUAACAAUGAUUGAUAGAGUAAAGACAUUAUUAAUAAAAAUUAGGCACCCAGCUAGCGAAUGGACUUUUGUUCGUGCCUCAGCACUCAGCGAAGGGCAGAUGAAAAAGGUGUUUGCAGCAGCAUGCAAUUAGAAUGAGUCGGGCCAGGUGGAAAAUGAACUCGGCCAUUCAUCAAAGCUGUCAGGACGGGUCUCUCACCAGAAGUGUUUACCAGUGUUCACCACGAGCUUCCGAGUUCUGCUAAUGGGAGCUCGUUCGACUGUAACUCAGAGGACUUGGAAAACGACUUGGGUGACUUAGCAUACCUAUUUUACUGAAUUCGCCUAAGUGUGACUCUUGAUGCUGACACUUAUGAGAAUGCACAGUGGGACUUCCAGAAAAAUUACCAGUGCAGUUCAGAAAAAUGCCUCCGUGAGGGCGGGAGCCUUUGAGGAAGUCCAGGUGGCAUGUGCUCUGGGGAGGGGAGGAAGCAAGAGGCACAGCGGCGUCAGGAGUGAAAAACGAGCCGCUUAUUCCACACACAUAAUAACAUAAAUCUGAUUCAAAAAAGUGAGAGACAAGAGGAGUCGACAGGAAAGCAUAUGGAAAAAGUUAAAUAAAAACCCAAGCUGCUAUCACCAUUA